UACGGAGGGUGCGAGCGUUGUCCGGAAUCAUUGGGCGUAAAGGGCGCGUAGGUGGCCCGGUCAGUCUUUGGUGAAAGCGCGGGGCUCAACCCUGCGUCGGCCAGGGAUACUGCCGCGGCUGGAGCACUGUAGAGGCAGGCGGAAUUCCGGGUGUAGCGGUGGAAUGCGUAGAGAUCCGGAAGAACACCGGUGGCGAAGGCGGCCUGCUGGGCAGUUUGCUGACACUGAGGCGCGACAGCGUGGGAGCAAACAGG
rnacentral:rRNA from 1 species